AACGAACGCUGGCGGCAUGCCUAGCACAUGCAGGUCGAACGAGACCUUCGGGUCUAGUGGCGCACGGGUGCGUAACGCGUGGGAACCUGCCCUUAGGUUCGGAAUAACUCCCCGAAAGGGGUGCUAAUACCGGAUAAUGUCUUCGGACCAAAGAUUUAUCGCCUUUGGAUGGGCCCGCGUUGGAUUAGCUAGUUGGUAGGGUAAAAGCCUACCAAGGCGACGAUCCAUAGCUGGUCUGAGAGGAUGAUCAGCCACACUGGGACUGAGACACGGCCCAGACUCCUACGGGAAGCAGCAGUGGGGAAUAUUGGACAAUGGGCGAAAGCCUGAUCCAGCAAUGCCGCGUGAGUGAUGAAGGCCUUAGGGUUGUAAAGCUCUUUUACCCGGGAUGAUAAUGACAGUACCGGGAGAAUAAGCUCCGGCUAACUCCGUG
rnacentral:rRNA from 1 species